ensembl:lncRNA
CAACCCGAAAUUAAGAGAUGUGUUUUUUGUCACAGCCCGAGCAGGAGCGCUGCAAAAAGACAUGUAGGUGUCCUACUUCUGGAUCCUUCUGGAGCCGUCUCCCAUUCGUCAACCUCUUGCAUCCGGACCAGGUGACGGGCGUUACGCAGGUCCAGCUUGGUGCAGGCUACAACAGGUCUUCUUUCUACUUCCACAAGCUCUGCAGAAGGCCGUCCUCGUUGACAGCGACCUUGGCAGAGACCUUUUUGUGGGGGAGGCUUAUCUGCUGUUGCCAUGGAAUCGACCCGGCCAUCUCAGCCGAACUUAAGAAUGAAGACUAAACUAAUGCUAAACCGAGCAGAUGCAGACUACAUAGUGAAUCACACAUUACUUUAUCUAUUCUCAAUGUUUUUGAGCGUCUUGAUUUACUGACUUCAUUUAUGCCGGCAGCUCCUUUAAUCCAAACGUUAUACAGAAUUACAAACACCGAAAACGUCGCAUCAGAGUUGUUGAUUCAGGAUCAUCUACGUUUGAGCUUGCCACCUCUUGGCAGGCUGCAAAUGAUUGGGUCAAAGGUCAGAGGCAGUGACAACACCACUGUGAGAAAAAGCAUCAUAGAGGAUUAUAGAGGAAACAGCCAAUGAAUGAGAAACAAAAAAGACAUGUGAAAAAAAAAAUGACCAAAGAAAUUGAAUCCACUCCUUCCAAGAAUUUGGAUUCAUUUAUGUAUUCAUUAUAUUUUGGGGAUUUCACACAGGCCGCUGCUCCGCGCCAAGAGUUUUGUUCAUAAAUGAAGCCGAGCAGAAGUUCUCCAUAAGCUAAUCGCGUUGUUGGUGCCAAUAGAUAAAAAAGUGAAGCCAAACACGAGUUCAGCACCUGAAUCGUCACAUAUACGCUUAGUCGACAGAGAUACAGUAGAUGUUCAGUGACCCGUCUUGUGCUCCACUCAAAGUGGGAAGUUAUACCGGUGCUAACCGGUUUAUUAUACGUCUGACGUCAUCCCGAUAGCUGCAACUUUCCACUGCCGUUUGAGGCCAGUCGUAAGGUAACAGGAGCCAACAGCACAACGGAAACAUGAGCUCUGAUGUCUGAGGCUUUUUAUUGCGAGAAGUUGUUAUUUUUAGCAAGAUUAUGAAUUAUUAACAGUUACGUGAAAAUCCAUUUCUAUGUCCUGAACCAAGAACAAUUUUUGUUUUUUUCCAAGUCACUGAGCAGCGGGACCCAAUAUCGGAUCAUUAUUGAGUGAACUGGUUCAAAAUUCUAGACUCAGUCAGCUGACGCUGUACGAUGUUAAGCAGUCUCAGUGUCUAGCCCUGCAGCGAAGCAUCAGCUAUUUAAAAGUAAAACAGAAUCAACUAGUUUCACAGCUGUGGCUACUACAUUCCUUUAUAUUGAGAUCAUCACAAGCAACCGUCAUAAUCAGGGCCCGACCCAACCGGUUCCCUAACUGCCAAAAAGGAAGAAAGGCAUCCGAAGGUUUCCGCAUGGAGCCCCAACCAUCACAGUGGGAUUGGCAGCGUAUUUUAAAAGAAGGGUCCGUCUUUGAACGUCAACUGACCAGUGGCUAAGCCCCGCCCCCGGCUGCUGCUCCAUCCACCUGUCACACCUGCAUGGAGCCCACGCUGUCACGAACUGCCACCACUGACAAAGUAUGCAUUGUAGAAAGGCAAAAGCUAUUUAGGAUCCCACAGAAGUAUCGACGUCUUGCAUCUGAAUAUCAACUGGUUAAAAUGAAUGAAGCUUCGGAUCACAGAAUAAAAGUGAAGCACCGAAACGCGU